rnacentral:rRNA from 1 species
GACAGAGGCCUCAAGCGUUAGGCGGAAUCACUGGGCUUAAGGCGUGUGUAGGCGGAUCGUUAAGUGUCUUGUGAAAUCCCACGGCUCACCCGUGGAACUGCUGGGCAUACUGGCGAUCUUGGGCCAACUAGGGGCAACUGGAACAAGCGGUGGAGCGGUGAAAUGCGUAGAUAUCGCUUGGAACGCCGAAGGUGAAAACAGGUUGCUGGGGUUGUGCCGACGCUGAGACACGAAAGCCAGGGGAGCGAACGGG